rnacentral:rRNA from 1 species
CCUACGGGCGGCAGCAGUGAGGAAUAUUGGUCAAUGGGCGAGAGCCUGAACCAGCCAAGUCGCGUGAGGGAGUACUUCCCUAUGGGUUGUAAACCUCUUUUGUCGGGGAGCAAAAGCCGGACGUGUCCGGCUGUGAGAGUACCCGAAGAAAAAGCAUCGGCUAACUCCGUGCCAGCAGCCGCGGUAAUACGGAGGAUGCGAGCGGUAUCCGGAUUUAUUGGGGUUAAGGGGUGCGCAGGCGGAUUUUUAAGUCAGCGGUCAAAUCGUGGGGCUCAACCCCAUCCAGCCGUUGAAACUGGGGAUCUAGAGUGUGCGAGAGGUAUGCGGAAUGCGUGGUGUAGCGGUGAAAUGCAUAGAUAUCACGCAGAACCCCGAUUGCGAAGGCAGCAUACCGGUGCACAACUGACGCUCAGGCACGAAAGCGUGGGUAUCGAACAGGAUUAGAUACCCCAGUAGUC